rnacentral:rRNA from 1 species
AGAGCGAACGCUGGCGGCAGGCCUAACACAUGCAAGUCGAGCGCCCGUAGCAAUACGGGAGCGGCAGACGGGAUAGUAACACGUGGGAACGCGCCCUUCGGUUCGGAAUAACUCAGGGAAACUUGAGCUAAUACCGGAUACGCCCUUACGGGGAAAGAUUUAUCGCCGAAAGAUCGGCCCGCGUCUGAUUAGCUAGUUGGUGAGGUAACGGCUCACCAAGGCGACGAUCAGUAGCUGGUCUGAGAGGAUGAUCAGCCACAUUGGGACUGAGACACGGCCCAAACUCCUACGGGAGGCAGCAGUGGGGAAUAUUGGACAAUGGGCGCAAGCCUGAUCCAGCCAUGCCGCGUGAGUGAUGAAGGCCCUAGGGUUGUAAAGCUCUUUUGUGCGGGAAGAUAAUGACGGUACCGCAAGAAUAAGCCCGGCUAACUUCGUGCCAGCAGCCGC